rnacentral:misc_RNA from 1 species
GAUGAAGAACGUAGCGAAAUGCGAUAAGUAGUGUGAAUUGCAGAAUUCAGUGAAUCAUCGAAUCUUUGAACGCACAUUGCGCCUCCUGGCAUUCCGGGAGGCAUGCCUGUUCGAGCGUCAUCAAAAACCAUCGUGCAAAUGAAUUCUCAUUAUUUGCCCGGACCUGACGAUCGAGCGAGAAAGAAAAAGAAAGAGAGGAAAAAAAAAAAUACGUUUUCUUUUUUCUUUGUUUCUUCCUUCUUUUCGCACCUCGUCGAAAUGAUUGCGGGCGGAACUUGGGAUUCGGGUUCCUCGGCGUAGUGUAACAAUGCAUAUUUAUGCAACUUGCCGCGGAGUUGAGCCUGACCCACGCGUUCUCGCCGUAACAAACCUCAUCACUUUUCAAGUUUUUGACCUCGGAUCAGGUAGGGAUACCCGCUGAACUUAAGCAUAUCAAUAAGCGGAGGA